rnacentral:rRNA from 1 species
GACGAACGCUGGCGGCGUGCUUAACACAUGCAAGUCGAACGGAAAGGCCCUGCUUUUGUGGGGUGCUCGAGUGGCGAACGGGUGAGUAACACGUGAGUAACCUGCCCUUUACUUUGGGAUAACUUCAGGAAACUGGGGCUAAUACCGGAUAGGAGCUCCUGCUGCAUGGUGGGGGUUGGAAAGUUUCGGCGGUUGGGGAUGGACUCGCGGCUUAUCAGCUUGUUGGUGGGGUAGUGGCUUACCAAGGCUUUGACGGGUAGCCGGCCUGAGAGGGUGACCGGCCACAUUGGUACUGAGAUACGGCCCAGACUCCUACGGGAGGCAGCAGUGGGGACUAUUGCACAAUGGGCGGAAGCCUGAUGCAGCAACGCCGCGUGCGGGAUGACGGCCUUCGGGUUGUAAACCGCUUUCGCCUGUGACGAAGCGUGAGUGACGGUAAUGGGUAAAGAAGCACCGGCUAACUACGUG